GGUUUUAUAGUUAAUAUAUAAUAUAAAAUUGCAAAUUUUAAGUAGUUUAAACUAAAACUU
rnacentral:tRNA from 1 species